rnacentral:rRNA from 1 species
GAGCGCCCCGCAAGGGGAGCGGCAGACGGGAGAGUAACACGUGGGAACGUACCCUUCAGUUCGGAACAACCCAGGGAAACUUGGGCUAAUACCGAAUACGUCCGUAAGGAGAAAGAUUUAUCGCUGAAGGAUCGGCCCGCGUCUGAUUAGCUUGUUGGUGAGGUAACGGCUCACCAAGGCGACGAUCAGUAGCUGGUCUGAGAGGAUGAUCAGCCUCACUGGGACUGAGACACGGCCCAGACUCCUACGGGAGGCAGCAGUGGGGAAUAUUGGACAAUGGGCGCAAGCCUGAUCCAGCAAUGCCGCGUGAGUGAUGAAGGCCUUAGGGUUGUAAAGCUCUUUCGGCGGGGACGAUGAUGACGGUACCCGCAGAAGGAGCCCCGGCUAACUUCGUGCCAGCAGCCGCGGUAAUACGAAGGGGGCGAGCGUUGUUCGGAAUUACUGGGCGUAAAGGGCGCGCAGGCGGUGCAUGAAGUCAGAUGUGAAAGCCCCGAGCUUAACUUGGGAACUGCAUUUGAUACUCGUGCGCUAGAGUUCGGGAGAGGAGAGUGGAAUUCCCAGUGUAGAGGUGAAAUUCGUAGAUAUUGGGAAGAACACCGGUGGCGAAGGCGGCUCUCUGGACCGAUACUGACGCUGAGGCGCGAAAGCGUGGGGA